rnacentral:rRNA from 1 species
AGUGAGCGCUGGCGGUAGGCCUAACACAUGCAAGUCGAACGGCAGCACAGUAAGAGCUUGCUCUUACGGGUGGCGAGUGGCGGACGGGUGAGGAAUACAUCGGAAUCUACUAUUUCGUGGGGGAUAACGUAGGGAAACUUACGCUAAUACCGCAUACGACCUACGGGUGAAAGCAGGGGAUCUUCGGACCUUGCGCGAUUGAAUGAGCCGAUGUCGGAUUAGCUAGUUGGCGGGGUAAAGGCCCACCAAGGCGACGAUCCGUAGCUGGUCUGAGAGGAUGAUCAGCCACACUGGAACUGAGACACGGUCCAGACUCCUACGGGAGGCAGCAGUGGGGAAUAUUGGACAAUGGGCGCAAGCCUGAUCCAGCCAUACCGCGUGGGUGAAGAAGGCCUUCGGGUUGUAAAGCCCUUUUGUUGGGAAAGAAAAGCAGCAGGUUAAUACCCCGCUGUUCUGACGGUACCCAAAGAAUAAGCACCGGCUAACUUCGUG